rnacentral:rRNA from 1 species
CCAGCACCCCGAGUGGUCGGGACGUUUAUUGGGCCUAAAGCAUCCGUAGCCGGUUCUGCAAGUCUUCCGUUAAAUCCACCUGCUUAACAGAUGGGCCGCGGAAGAUACUAUAGAGCUAGGAGGCGGGAGAGGCAAGCGGUACUCGAUGGGUAGGGGUAAAAUCCGUUGAUCCAUUGAAGACCACCAGUGGCGAAGGCGGCUUGCCAGAACGCGCUCGACGGUGAGGGAUGAAAGCUGGGGGAGCAAACCGGAUUAGAUACCCGGGUAGUCCCAGCUGUAAACGAUGCAGACUCGGUGAUGAAUUGGCUUCAUGCCAAUUCAGUGCCGCAGGGAAGCCGUUAAGUUUGCCGCCUGGGGAGUACGGUCGCAAGACUG